UACGUAGGGUGCAAGCGUUAAUCGGAAUUACUGGGCGUAAAGCGUGCGCAGGCGGUUGUGCAAGACCGAUGUGAAAUCCCCGGGCUUAACCUGGGAAUGGCAUUGGUGACUGCACGGCUAGAGUGUGUCAGAGGGGGGUAGAAUUCCACGUGUAGCAGUGAAAUGCGUAGAGAUGUGGAGGAAUACCGAUGGCGAAGGCAGCCCCCUGGGAUAACACUGAC
rnacentral:rRNA from 1 species